rnacentral:rRNA from 1 species
CCUACGGGGCGCAGCAGCCGCGGUAAUAUGUAGGUGGCAAGCGUUAUCCGGAAUGAUUGGGCGUAAAGGGUGCGUAGGCGGCAAAAUAAGUCUGAAGUAAAAGGCGUUGGCUCAACCAACGUAAGCUUUGGAAACUGUUAAGCUAGCGUGCAGGAGAGGUUAGUGGAAUUCCAUGUGUAGCGGUAAAAUGCGUAGAUAUAUGGAGGAACACCAGUGGCGAAGGCGGCUAACUGGCCUGUAACGGACGCUGAGGCACGAAAGCGUGGGGAGCAAAUAGGAUUAGAAACCCCAGUAGUCCCCCAGAU